UACAGAGGGGGCAAGCGUUGUUCGGAAUUAUUGGGCGUAAAGGGCGCGUAGGCGGCUUUGCAAGUGACGGGUGAAAUCCCUCGGCUUAACCGAGGAACUGCCUGUCAAACUGCAUGGCUUGAGACCGGGAGAGGUGAGUGGAAUUCCCAGUGUAGCGGUGAAAUGCGUAGAUAUUGGGAGGAACACCAGUGGCGAAGGCGGCUCACUGGACCGGUACUGACGCUGAGGCGCGAAAGCCAGGGGAGCAAACGGG
rnacentral:rRNA from 1 species